rnacentral:rRNA from 1 species
GGCCUGUGCGGCAGACUACACAUGCAGUCGAGCGGUAGCACAGAGAGCUUGCUCUCGGGUGACGAGCGGCGGACGGGUGAGUAAUGUCUGGGAAACUGCCUGAUGGAGGGGGAUAACUACUGGAAACGGUAGCUAAUACCGCAUAAUGUCGCAAGACCAAAGAGGGGGACCUUCGGGCCUCUUGCCAUCAGAUGUGCCCAGAUGGGAUUAGCUAGUAGGUGGGGUAACGGCUCACCUAGGCGACGAUCCCUAGCUGGUCUGAGAGGAUGACCAGCCACACUGGAACUGAGACACGGUCCAGACUCCUACGGGAGGCAGCAGUGGGGAAUAUUGCACAAUGGGCGCAAGCCUGAUGCAGCCAUGCCGCGUGUAUGAAGAAGGCCUUCGGGUUGUAAAGUACUUUCAGCGGGGAGGAAGGUGUUGAGGUUAAUAACCUCAGCAAUUGACGUUACCCGCAGAAGAAGCACCGGCUAACUCCGUGCCAGCAGCCGCGGUAAUACGGAGGGUGCAAGCGUUAAUCGGAAUUACUGGGCGUAAAGCGCACGCAGGCGGUCUGUCAAGUCGGAUGUGAAAUCCCCGGGCUCAACCUGGGAACUGCAUUCGAAACUGGCAGGCUAGAGUCUUGUAGAGGGGGGUAGAAUUCCAGGUGUAGCGGUGAAAUGCGUAGAGAUCUGGAGGAAUACCGGUGGCGAAGGCGGCCCCCUGGACAAAGACUGACGCUCAGGUGCGAAAGCGUGGGGAGCAAACAGGAUUAGAUACCCUGGUAGUCCACGCCGUAAACGAUGUCGACUUGGAGGUUGUGCCCUUGAGGCGUGGCUUCCGGAGCUAACGCGUUAAGUCGACCGCCUGGGGAGUACGGCCGCAAGGUUAAAACUCAAAUGAAUUGACGGGGGCCCGCACAAGCGGUGGAGCAUGUGGUUUAAUUCGAUGCAACGCGAAGAACCUUACCUACUCUUGACAUCCAGAGAACUUUCCAGAGAUGGAUUGGUGCCUUCGGGAACUCUGAGACAGGUGCUGCAUGGCUGUCGUCAGCUCGUGUUGUGAAAUGUUGGGUUAAGUCCCGCAACGAGCGCAACCCUUAUCCUUUGUUGCCAGCGGUCCGGCCGGGAACUCAAAGGAGACUGCCAGUGAUAAACUGGAGGAAGGUGGGGAUGACGUCAAGUCAUCAUGGCCCUUACGAGUAGGGCUACACACGUGCUACAAUGGCGCAUACAAAGAGAAGCGACCUCGCGAGAGCAAGCGGACCUCAUAAAGUGCGUCGUAGUCCGGAUUGGAGUCUGCAACUCGACUCCAUGAAGUCGGAAUCGCUAGUAAUCGUAGAUCAGAAUGCUACGGUGAAUACGUUCCCGGGCCUUGUACACACCGCCCGUCACACCAUGGGAGUGGGUUGCAAAAGAAGUAGGUAGCUUAACCUUCGGGAGGGCGCUACCACUUUGAUCAGGGC